CACGUAGGGGGCGAGCGUUGUCCGGAAUCAUUGGGCGUAAAGAGCUCGUAGGCGGCCAACUAAGUCGGACGUGAAAUCCCCAGGCUCAACCUGGGAACUGCGUCCGAUACUGGAUGGCUUGAAUCCGGGAGAGGGAUGCAGAAUUCCAGGUGUAGCGGUGAAAUGCGUAGAUAUCUGGAGGAAUACCGGUGGCGAAGGCGGCAUCCUGGACCGGCAUUGACGCUGAGGAGCGAAAGCCAGGGGAGCAAACGGG
rnacentral:rRNA from 1 species